rnacentral:rRNA from 1 species
CAGAGGGGGCAAGCGUUAUUCGGAAUUAUUGGGCGUAAAGGGCGCGUAGGCGGCUUUUCAAGUGACGGGUGAAAUCCCUCGGCUUAACCGAGGAACUGCCUGUCAGACUGGAAGGCUUGAGACCGGGAGAGGUGAGUGGAAUUCCCAGUGUAGCGGUGAAAUGCGUAGAUAUUGGGAGGAACACCAGUGGCGAAGGCGGCUCACUGGACCGGAACUGACGCUGAGGCGCGAAAGCGUGGGGAGCAAACAGGAUUAGAUACCCUGGUAGUCCACGCCGUAAACGAUGAGUGCUUGGUGUAGCGGGUAUCCGACCCCUGCUGUGCCGAAGUCAACACAUUAAGCACUCCGCCUGGGGAGUACGGUCGCAAGACUG